UUUGUUUUCCUCAUAAACGUGGAAAUUCUUUAACAAAUAUUUUCUCCUCUAAUUUUGAUGAGGAACAAGUGGAAAACAAUAAUUAAAGAAAUUAAAAAAAAAACAAAAACAAAAUAUAGGAGAUAAGUAUAGGAACAUUAUAGCUCCUUGUAUAUAGGAGGAUCUUGUAUAUGGUUAGAGUAUAUACUCUGUAGAUAAGCUCUAGAGAUCCUACGUGAUCUCUUCUCUCUUGUAUAUAUAUUGUACUCCUUUCUCUUAUCAAUAUAACACAACCUUCACAUCUCUCUACAUGGUAUCAGAGCGAUCUUGUUAAAUCAACGGAUCCUCUCAAAAUUUUCUUCUUUCUUUAUGCUUAAGAUGGAUAGUUCAUCCUCUUCAAUCACCACUCACGCCACCAUCAACGUUGAUCCACAAAACCGUAUUACGGUGAUCAACAUGGUGAAUAUCACCAAACUCUCGUCAACAAACUAUCUAACCUGGAGUGUGCAGAUCACAUCUCUUCUUCGAGGUUACGAUCUCGUCAAGUUCAUUGACAACACAACCAUUCUACCUGCUGCAACAAUCACAGUCGACGACGUUGACACGCUAAAUCCUGCUCUCAUUGCCUGGCAACGACAGGACAACCUUCUCUUUAGCGCACUCAUGGGCACUAUUGAGAUCUCGCUUCAACCACUCAUCGCUACAUCCAAGACCACUCUUGAGGCUUGGAACACUCUCUCUUACGUAUGGCAAACCUACUCGGGGCCACAUCAAGCAACAACUCAAAUUGUGCGUCAAAGGCAACAAAGAUAUCGAUGCCUACAUGCAGCUGAUCAAAACAAAAGCCGAUGCUCUUGCUCUUCUCGGCAGCCCAGUCGAUGCCAAAGAUCUCACUGACAUCAUUCUCGAUGGACUCACUGAUGAUUACAAAUCUAUCAUCGAGUCUAUCCAUGGACGUGACACUCCAAUCUCAUUUGCUGAACUUCAUGAGAAGCUUCUGAACCGUGAAAAUGCUAUCGCAAGUGCUCAACCACAACCGUCUCCAUUUCCGGUGACUGAAAACUACGUUCAAAAUUCAAAGAACUCCAAUCGUGACUGGCGCUCUCAGACUUCAAACAAUCACCACAACUCCAACUUCAACAAAAACAACAACAACUCAGGGCGUCGUCCGUAUCUUGGUAAAUGCCAAGCUUGUGGAACUCAGGGACACAGUGCCAAAUACUGUUCCACGUUUCGCCUUGUGCAACAACAGUCCUCGCAGUCUGCAACUUCUUCUCUGGGUUCUCAAAAUGGCAUACCGCGUGCCUACAACACCUCUAUCAUGCCUCCUGAUCCCUCGUCAUGGCUUCUUGACAGUGGUUCCACUCACCACAUAACGUCUGAUCUCGCAAACCUUGCACUGCACGCACCUUACAAAGGAUCAGAAGAGGUUCUCGUUGGAAAUGGUGAUGGUCUUCAAAUAACUCACACGGGUUCCCUUUCUCUUCCUCACUCAUCUCUCUCACUUAAGAAUGUUCUUACAGUACCUGAGAUAGCUCGCAAUUUGAUUUCGGUGAAACAACUCUGUACUGACAACCUUGUGUCUGUGAAAUUUUUUCCACAAUCUUUUCAGGUGAAGGAUCUCAGCUCGGGGGCCCAGUUAAUCCGAGGAAAGACGACUAAUGGUGGAUAUGAAUGGCCAACUUCUGAUGAAUCUCCUGUUUUUGCUUUUUCCGCUUCAAUAAAAUGUCCUUUGCCAAUUUGGCAUUCACGGCUUGGACACCCCUCUGUUGCUACUUUAAAAACCAUUGUUUCUUCUUAUUCUUUACCGUGUUCUAAUAAAGAUUCAUCACUCUUAUGCAAUGCUUGUUCAACCUCAAAGAGCCACAAAAUACCUUUCUCCAUUUCUUCCCUCUCUUCCACAAAACCACUUGAACUUCUAUACUCCGAUGUGUGGACCUCACCGGUUCACUCCAUCGAUGGAUUCAAGUACUAUGUCAUUUUUGUUGACCACUAUACCCACUAUGUUUGGCUUUAUCCAUUACGAAAAAAAUCAGAUGUGCUUUCUGUUUUCACUCGUUUCAAAACACUUGUUGAAAAGAAAUUUCAAACCCAAAUAAUCACUCUCUAUUCAGAUAACGGGGGAGAAUACAAUGCUAUGAAAGAUUUUCUUGCCACAAACGGCAUCACCCAUCUUACAUCUCCACCCCACACUCCCCAACAUAAUGGCUUUGCAGAGAGACGCCAUCGCCAUCUUGUUGAAACAGGCUUGGCUCUUCUCUCUCACGCCUCCAUACCCAUUUCCUAUUGGAGCUAUGCACUCACUGCAGCAGCUUACCUGAUAAACCGUCUCCCAACUUCCACUCUCUCCAACUCUUCUCCUUUUGAACUUCUCAAUCUCUCCCCACCAAACUAUACCAAGCUGCGCGUCUUUGGAUGGCUUUGCUACCCAUGGCUUCGACCAUACACUAACCACAAACUUGAUCCUCGCUCCACUCCUUGUAUCUUCUUAGGCUACUCCCAAACUCAAAGUGCCUACCUUUGUCUUGACCCCUCCUCCACCAAAAUUUUUAUCUCUCGUCAUGUUCAGUUUCAUGAAACAGAAUUUCCCUACAAAACUCUCAAUUCCUCUUCGACAUAUGUUCCCUCGUCCUCUUCCACUCUUUGGUGUCCACCAAUUCUUACUUCCUCUGGCCAUUCGAAUUCACCAUCGUCAGCAGUACACUUGCCCCCGGGCUCGGGUCCUUCACAAGCGCAACAGCAAGAAGCAGUGCCUCUGUCAUCAGCUCCUGUUAACUCCGCACCCGCUACGUCAGGUUCUGACACUCAGUGCCCAGCUCCUUCAUCUGCCUUGCUUCCCACGCCACCAAAUACACAUCCCAUGGUGACAAGGUCGAAAAAUCACAUCAACAAGCCUAACCCAAAGUUCGCCAUGCUCGCAAGCUCUGAUCUUGAAACAUAACCAACGUCUAUUGCUCAAGCUCUCAAAGAUGAAAAGUGGCGCCGUGCUAUGGGCUCUGAAUAUGAUGCUCAGAUCAAACAUCAAACAUGGGAUUUGGUUCCACCAGACCCAUCUCAGAAACUUGUCGGUACCAGAUGGGUUCAUCGAAUCAAAAGACUUCCCAAUGGAAACAAGCAGUACAAAUCCAGAUUUGUCGCAAAAGGUUAUCAUCAACGUCCUGGCCUCGACUAUGAAGAAACCUUCAGUCCAGUAAUCAAAGCUGGUACAGUUCGUCUUGUUCUCGGUCAUGCUGUUGCUAAUGACUGGGUUCUUCGCCAAUUGGACAUUAACAAUGCCUUCCUUCAGGGGAAACUCGAAGAAGAGGUCUACAUUGCUCAACCCGCUGGCUUUGUUGAUUCUGAUAAACCAACUCAUGUUUGCAAACUGCGUAAAGCUCUAUAUGGCCUUAAACAGGCACCAAGGGCUUGGUACCAGGAGCUUCGGUCCUUUCUUCUUGACUCUGGCUUCACCAACUCACUUUCAGAUGCCUCUUUAUUCAUCCUUAAACAUCCAGAUGUCACACUCUACGUUUUGGUUUAUGUCGACGACAUUGUCGUAACCGGUAACCAACCUGCAGCUGUUGAAACAUUCAUUCAACGUCUGGGUGCUCGUUUCUUUCUCAAGGACUUAGGCUCUCUAAGCUACUUUCUGGGAAUUGAAGCGCAUCGCACUGGUGAAGGACUUCUCCUUACUUAACAGAAGUACAUCAUUGAUUUGUUGGCUUGCAACAAUUUGCUUGACGCUAAUCCAGUUUCAACUCCGAUGGCUUCUAAUUGUCACCUGCAACUCACCUCUGGAACACCUCUUGAUGAUGGUCGUGAGUACCGCACCCUUGUUGGAAGCCUGCAGUAUCUCCACUUCACCAGACCAGAUGUCGCCUUUGCCGUGAACAAGCUGUCACAGUUCAUGCAUCGACCAACGGAUGAACACUGGAUAGCAGCUAAACGUGUUCUUCGUUAUCUCUCUGGCACUCGCAAUCAAGGCAUAUUUCUUCGACGCAACAACACUCCGAACAUUCAUGCCUUCUCUGACUCUGACUGGUCCGGCAAUCGGGACGAUUACACGUCAACAGGAGCGUACAUUUUUUAUCUUGGCUCUCAUCCGAUGGUCUGGUCUUCUAAGAAACAAAAGACUGUUGCCCGUUCCUCCACUGAGGCUGAGUACAGGUCAGUAGCAGACACCGCAGCUGAAGUCUGUUGGGUGUCUUAUCUCAUGUCUGAAUUGGGCAUCACAUCUUCGUCUCAACCUGUCAUCUUUUGUGACAAUGUGGGAGCUACCUAUCUUGCGGCAAACCCUGUUUUUCACUCACGGAUGAAGCAUGUCGCGCUUGACUAUCAUUUCGUUCGUCAGAUGGUUCAGUCCAAGUUUCUUCGAGUAACUCAUGUCUCAUCUAAAGAUCAGUUGGCUGACGCUCUCACUAAACCGCUGCCACGUCUGCGUCUACAACAACUUAGUUCCAAGAUUGGGCUCUCUACCGGUCGCUCAUCUUGCGGGGGCGUAUAGAAGAUAAGUAUAGGAACAUUAUAGCUCCUUGUAUAUAGGAGGAUCUUGUAUAUGGUUAGAGUAUAUACUCUGUAGAUAAGCUCUAGAGAUCCUACGUGAUCUCCUCUCUCUUGU
rnacentral:lncRNA from 1 species